UAUAUUAAUUUACUAAAACACACAUAUAUCGACACUUGUUAUCGGGGUGUUCAGGCUAGUUUGAUUUAGACUGAAUCGAUACAAGGGAUAUAUGGAGGCCUAAC
rfam:Alteromonas australica strain H 17, complete genome.